CGUCAUUAUUCUGGGCAGCCCAGUGCACAGUGAAAAUCUUCAGUUACUGUGGAAGCGAAGGGGAACGGAUCCUGAGGUUCAAUCAAUCACAGUCUGUUGAACAUAGGAGAAACAACAACAACAAAUUCAUGAUGGAAGUUGGAAAACGGGCCUUGGAUGUGUGGCCACGUGUGGUGCUGUGGGAGUGUUGAAAGCCAGGGAGACACAACAUGGGACAGAUGCUGCUGGAGAAGGACACGUGAGCGGAGGUGCACGUGGGGCAACCGGCCUGUCUACCUGCCAGACCAGAGAGGUACCCUCCUACUCACCUUGGAGGAUGAGGCCAGACUCUGAUCUCCCCACCCACCCUGGAAGAUGACGGAGGUUGGUACCACAGGAGAACAGCUCAGGCCCAUUACUGCGACCACCCAUCUAGGGCACCGUCUAGAAGUCGUUUUUGAUUAGAAGCUGACCUCAGAAGUAUGCUCGCAUCAUUCUGAAAACAUCUGACAGCACCACAGAAACCGACGCAGAAUGAGAAAGGACACAGUGGACGAAGGCCAGGACCAGGGCCUUCCCACACGGCUCUCAGGGCUGUCAUUGGCCUGAGUCAAAGUUGGGAUGCUGUCCCCCUGUCAGACCCCCGGAUACCUGCAUUGACAUGGGGCCAGCUGGGAGUGAUAGUGGUGACUGUCAUCAUCGUGGUUGUCAUCGCAUGACACUGGCCGAUACUACUGAGUCCUUAUUACACCUGAAGCCAGAAGUCCAAAAUCACGGUGUCAGCAGGGCCACGCUCCCUCCGAAUGUUCUAGCUAGGGAGGAAUCCUUCACUGCUUUUUCCGGUUUCUGGUGGCUCCAGGCUCAGUGCUGGGUCCUGGGGAGACUGAAGCAAUGCACACAGAUCCAGUUCCUGCCCUCUCAGAGCUGACUUUGCAGUGGAGGGAGGUAGACCCAACAGAAGCAGUUACACCAUUGCUCAUGGCA